AGUGAACGCUGGCGGUAGGCCUAACACAUGCAAGUCGAACGGCAGCACAGUAAGAGCUUGCUCUUACGGGUGGCGAGUGGCGGACGGGUGAGGAAUACAUCGGAAUCUACUUUUUCGUGGGGGAUAACGUCGGGAAACUUACGCUAAUACCGCAUACGACCUACGGGUGAAAGCAGGGAGUCUUCGGACCUUGCGCGAUUGAAUGAGCCGAUGUCGGGUUAGCUAUUUGGCGGGGUAAAGGCCCACCAAGGCGACGAUCCGUAGCUGGUCUGAGAGGAGGAUCGGCCACACGGGAACUGGGAAAGGGUCCGGAUUCGGAGGGGAGGCAGAGGGUGGGAAGAUGGGCAAAGGGGGGAAGGCGUGAGCCAGCCAGACGGCGGGGGUGAAGAAGGCCUUCGGGUGGUAAAGCCCUUUUGGUGGGAAAAAAAAUAAGCAGGUUAAUACCCCGCUGUUCGGACGGGACCCAAAGAAUAAGCACGGGCGAACUGCGG
rnacentral:rRNA from 1 species